rnacentral:rRNA from 1 species
ACUCCUACGGGAGGCAGCAGUAGGGAAUCUUCCACAAUGGGCGCAAGCCUGAUGGAGCAACACCGCGUGAGUGAAGAAGGGUUUCGGCUCGUAAAGCUCUGUUGUUAAAGAAGAACACGUAUGAGAGUAACCGUUCAUACGUUGACGGUAUUUAACCAGAAAGUCACGGCUAACUACGUGCCAGCAGCCGCGGUAAUACGUAGGUGGCAAGCGUUAUCCGGAUUUAUUGGGGCGUAAAGAGAGUGCAGGCGGUUUUCUAAGUCUGAUGUGAAAGCCUUCGGCUUAACCGGAGAAGUGCAUCGGAAACUGGAUAACUUGAGUGCAGAAGAGGGUAGUGGAACUCCAUGUGUAGCGGUGGAAUGUGUAGAUAUAUGGAAGAACACCAGUGGCGAAGGCGGCUACCUGGUCUGCAACUGACGCUGAGACUCGAAAGCAUGGGUAGCGAACAGGAUUAGAUACCCUGGUAGGAUAGCG